CCUACGGGAGGCAGCAGUGAGGAAUAUUGGGCAGUGGACGCAAGUCUGACCCAGCCAUGCCGCGUGAAGGAUGAAGGCGUUCUGCGUUGUAAACUUCUUUUACUAGUGAAGAAAGUGCGUCUUUUUAGAUGUUUUGACGGUAACUAGUGAAUAAGCACCGGCUAACUCCGUGCCAGCAGCCGCGGUAAU
rnacentral:rRNA from 1 species